rnacentral:rRNA from 1 species
UAAAAGGUCGAGCCUGCCCAGUGACUAUAUGUUCAACGGCCGCGGUAUUUUAACCGUGCAAAGGUAGCGCAAUCACUUGUCUUUUAAAUGAAGACCUGUAUGAAUGGUAUUACGAGGGCUUAACUGUCUCCUUUUUCAAGUCAGUGAAAUUGAUCUCCCCGUGCAGAAGCGGGGAUAAAACCAUAAGACGAGAAGACCCUAUGGAGCUUUAGACACUGAGCCAUAUCAAGUUAAACACCCCCAAACAAGGGACUAAACUUAUUGAAAUCAUUGGCCGUAUGUCUUCGGUUGGGGCGACCAUGGGGAAACAAAAAACCCCCACGUGGAAUGGGAGCACAACUACUCCUACAGUCAAGAGCCACCACUCUAACAAACAGAAUUUCUGACCAAUAACUGAUCCGGCAACGCCGAUCAACGGACCAAGUUACCCUAGGGAUAACAGCGCAAUCCCCUUUUAGAGCCCCUAUCGACAAGGGGGUUUACGACCUCGAUGUUGGAUCAGGACAUCCCAAUGGUGCAGCCGCUAUUAAGGGUUCGUUUGUUCAACG